AUUGAACGCUGGCGGCAUGCUUUACACAUGCAAGUCGAACGGUAACAGGUCUUCGGAUGCUGACGAGUGGCGAACGGGUGAGUAAUGCAUCGGAACGUGCCCAGUCGUGGGGGAUAACGCAGCGAAAGUUGUGCUAAUACCGCAUACGAUCUAUGGAUGAAAGCGAGGGACCGUAAGGCCUCGCGCGAUUGGAGCGGCCGAUGUCAGAUUAGGUAGUUGGUGGGGUAAAGGCCCACCAAGCCAACGAUCUGUAGCUGGUCUGAGAGGACGACCAGCCACACUGGGACUGAGACACGGCCCAGACUCCUACGGGAGGCAGCAGUGGGGAAUUUUGGACAAUGGGCGCAAGCCUGAUCCAGCAAUGCCGCGUGCAGGAAGAAGGCCUUCGGGUUGUAAACUGCUUUUGUACGGAACGAAAAGGUUCGGG
rnacentral:rRNA from 1 species